CACGAACGCUGGCGGCAGGCCUAACACAUGCAAGUCGAACGAGCUGAGACCUUCGGGUCUCGAUGCUAGUGGCGCACGGGUGAGUAACGCGUGGGAACGUACCCUUUAGUACGGAAUAACCAAGGGAAACUUUGGCUAAUACCGUAUACGCCCUUCGGGGGAAAGAUUUAUCGCUAAAGGAUCGGCCCGCGUCUGAUUAGGUAGUUGGUGAGGUAACGGCUCACCAAGCCGACGAUCAGUAGCUGGUCUGAGAGGAUGAUCAGCCACACUGGGACUGAGACACGGCCCAGACUCCUACGGGAGGCAGCAGUGGGGAAUAUUGGACAAUGGGGGCAACCCUGAUCCAGCCAUGCCGCGUGAGUGAUGAAGGCCUUAGGGUUGUAAAGCUCUUUCACCGGAGAAGAUAAUGACGGUAUCCGGAGAAGAAGCCCCGGCUAACUUCGUGCCAGCCGCCGCGGUAACAC
rnacentral:rRNA from 1 species